rnacentral:rRNA from 1 species
UACGUAGGGUGCGAGCGUUGUCCGGAAUUAUUGGGCGUAAAGGGCUCGUAGGCGGUUUGUCGCGUCGGGAGUGAAAAUCCAGGGCUUAACUCUGGACUGGCUUCCGAUACGGGCAGACUAGAGGUAUGCAGGGGAGAACGGAAUUCCUGGUGUAGCGGUGAAAUGCGCAGAUAUCAGGAGGAACACCGGUGGCGAAGGCGGUUCUCUGGGACGGUACUGACGCUGAGACGCGAAAGCGUGGGGAGCGAACAGG